rnacentral:lncRNA from 1 species
UCGUGAAAAGAAAAAGAAGUCAAUAAUGGUUCCUGUAGCACGUUCUACAUUUGAAGAAAAAUAAAAAAAAAACAAAAAAGGAGAGAAAGAACGGACAAUAUCGUUGGCGGUAAUGUUCUUGUCGCGCGAUAGGUAGGGCUAAAUGUAACCAACCGUCGGACUAUUUUGCGAUCGUUAAGCCUGUAACAUAUACGUUACGCAUAGCCCUCUCACACGUAGGAUGAUAUCUGUAAGAGUUUGCGAACACAGAGACUGAGUUCUUCUGGGUGAAGCUUAUGCGAGAGUCGGUAGUAUCGUCGGUGGCUCGUAAAAAGUCAAACGUAUGGCGCGUCGGCGCAGCCACGUUGACAUUUUGUGUAUAAGUACGCAAUAUAAUUAGCGACCAUAAUCGUAAAUAAGUCCUACGGACCAAUAUGGAGACGACCUCGAGACAAGAAGGAAUUUUUCAAAGAUAUUCUACAGCAAUGAUUAAAAACUUAUAAAUCCGAUGAUCAUCCUCGGAUCAAUCGAUUCGCACACGGACGGUCAAAGUUAAACUUUCAAAAGGGUUCAAGCGUUUACGCUCGAAUUAUCCACGAUUAAAAUUUGCACCGUAAAAUCGAUACGAUUGACAACCGUAUCCUUUUACCCAUCUAUCAAUUCUUUUCGAUUGCUGGCCCACAAAUUUUUCCAUCUUUCAUCAAUAAAAACUUGUGUCGAUUCACAAGCGGGCAACCGGAGGCGGAGCCAGGCUGCCCUCUGUGGGCCGGGCCAACGCAAAUGACUCUUCCAUGCAAGAUGGCGUAGGCACGGAACGCUAGGCGGUGCUGCUGGUGCUGGUGGUGCUGCUGUUUCUGUUGCUGCUGCUGCUGCUGCUGCCGCUGUCGGUGCGUGCCCGCGAGCCCCGUGCUUUUAUAUUUAGCGCGCGCGACGUGCAGCCGACGUGCGGACGACAACGUGCGGACGACGAGUUUCCUCGUGAGCAUCAUAUCCAGAUCCAGGCUCGAUUUUACAUAGUCGUUCGAAGUCCGUUCCGGCUGUUAAACCUUGUCGUGGAUGCGACGACGCGUCGAGAUUCGUAAUCGGCCUGUUCUUUAUGACGGGAAUCCUCGACGAUGCAUCUUUCCUGGUGUGCUCGAAGAAAAAUAACCGCGUCAGAUAAGAGAAAGCACACGGUGGAAAGAAAGGAGAGGAGAAAUCAUGUUUUCCUUUUAUAAGGAGAAACCGAUAUGAAGACGCGCAAAAGAGGAAAGAAGAAGAAGAAGAAGAAGAAGAAGAACGGUGAGUGCACUCGAACGAAGGGGUAAGUAGGUAUUCGAUAGUCUGUAAUGUACUCAGAAACGAUGCUGAAUUUCCACGAAGGAAACCUUAUCUUGCAAGUACAGAUAGCAGCCAAUAACGACAACGGCGUUAAGAAGGAGAAGAAAAAGAGGAAGAAGAAGAAAAGAAAAAGGAAAAGAAUACAACGACGAUACAAACGCAAAAAGUUACAUGUGUUAGCCAGCACACCCCGACUAACAUUGCAAGAUGGCUUAUUCCAAUGAGAAUAUAUGAAACAACACGAAGGGAAACAAGCGAUGAUACUCACAGUCGUUCGCCGACUACACCAUAAAAUACGCCAUAAAAGGAAAGAAGAGAAGAAAAGAGCCGGACAAAGGUGAAAAGACGAAUCCAAAAGGGUGAACGCAGAUAGUGUCCUUCUCGCGAAUCUGUGCGUGCACCUAUCCGAAAUAAACGAAUCGAAAAUUUUCGACUAUUUCCACACAACUAUUUUCGUUUUUAACAUUGAAUGAAAGGAAAAAUUGAGCGAGUGGAAAUAUUUUCCACUCCACCGAUCAUAAAUUCAACCGCGAAUUCAUUCGCUAUCGUUCAAACGUUUUUAAAUAUUUAAGCACUGAAGACACUUUUCUACUACAUUAUUUAAUGAUAUACGAAAAUUUUCUAGCGAAUUGAGAGAAUGAUCUUAUAGUUAGAUAAAAAUAAUAGAUUUUAAGAAAGUCACUUAAAUAAUUGUGCUAACGUAAUGGAUUUAAACCAAUCGACGUAAUUUAUUUUAAUCGAAUCACUUGAUCCCGUGUAAUUUAUGCGACACCGGCGAAUUUGUAGAAUUCUAAUAGAAAUAUCGAGCUAAAAUACGUGAAAUAUGUAUUUCUUUGAAAACAAUUUCAGUUUAACGAACUAAAGUAUAUAUAUAUGUAUACGUGAAUUCUAAAAAAAAUUAUUCUACGCAUAUCCUCGAAUUUUAUUGCAUCUUUUUUAAAUAAUAUUUUUCUUUAGCGUAAUUUCACCGGGACUUUGCUGAUUACGUUACUCUAUUCGCGAGUCAUUACCAGCGCGUCAUAAACAUCGAAAUGCGUUUUGAAUGGUGAAGCGGGGAGAGGAACGGGAUAUAGAAAUGUAAUGCAUAUGUGCUACGUCUUUUGAAACGACAUCGAAUGAAAGGAUAGGUAAAAUAGAAAGAGAUGAGAAUAAAUAUAUAUAUUUCCUUGUAAAUCUCGUUAGAAAUUGAUUUCGGUUCUCCGUACUCAUUCUAACAUUUAACAGAUCAAAUGAGAAUAUCCUGAAGGAGGUUAGACGGCAGUUUCUCGAAACGGCAGAGCUCAGACAUACGCCUGGUAUUUGGCAGAAAUUAGGUUGGUAAUGCCUCAGCGACCGGUCUCAGCAGCAGCACUUAACGCCGUAAAGCUGUUUGAUGGCAUCGCUAUCACCCCUAACCGUUCCUAACAGUCCAACGCACACUUCACACUGCGCCCGGGCUCUGACACUGCAACCGUGAGUUAUUCACUUAAUGCGGCCAUUACGCGCUCCUCGAUGGUGCUUCAUCCUGAUUUACUUGACAAGCAUUUAUUGCUUCUAUCUCGGCUAGCAAUAUUAAACCCUCUGCUCGCGUUUCCUACGUUCAUAUAUACAUAGGUAUAUCCUACGUAUGUACGUAUGUACGUAGAAUGCGUUCUCUUAUGCGUAUUCUACUAACGUGUCUACGUGUAAGUAAGCGGGUGUGUACAAGCGAUAUCACGACGACGACGAUGAUGGUGAAAGCUUCGCGGAAUGAUCGAUGUCCAGCGUCUACAUAGAGAGAUGCUUCAAGAAAACCCAUCGACCAAACGGAGUUUUGUAAACUGUAUUAACUAUGGGGUUUACUGGAUAAACCUGUGCUACCGAUUCUACAGAAUCAAAUACUUUUCAACGGGUUCACUAUUGAAUCAUUUUUCAAACGUAUGAUAUCAAACAAUUACACUUAUUAUUAAA